AUGCGACCUCGGGCACUGCCAACCGUGGGUGAGCUCUGGGUGUGUGGGCGGCCUGGUGCGGUGCUCUGCUGUGUCAACGUGUUAUGAUGCUGUCCCAAACCAACCUGGCUACUGGAAUCCCCAGGAGUAAAGUGAAAUAUUCAAGGCUCUCCAGCACAGAGGAUGGCUACAUUGACCUUCAGUUUAAGAAAACUCCUCCUAAGAUCCCUUAUAAGACCAUCGCACUUGCCACUGUGCUGUUUUUGAUUGGCGCCUUUCUCAUUAUUGUAGGCUCCCUCCAGCUGUCAGGCCACAUCAGCAAAGAGGGGGCAGACCAGCCGUUCCAGUCCUGAUCCUUGGCAUUCUGGUGUUCCUACCCAGAUUUUACCACCUGCACAUCACUUACUAUGCAUCCAAAGGCUACCGUGGUUACUCCUAUGAUGAUAUUCCAGACUUUGAUGACUAGCACCCACCUAAUAGCUGAGGAGAAGAGUCACAGUGGAACUGUCCCAGCUUUAAGAUACCUAGCAGAAACUAUAGCUAAGGAUUAAGGAAUUCUGCAGCUUGCAGAUGUUUAAGAAAAUAAUGGCUAGAUUUUACGGGUCCUUCCCAAAGAUGUUAACUGAACCUGCAGUAGCUAAUUAGGACAUGCUCUGUUUUUCAUCCCUUGGCCCUGGCAAGAGCUCCUGACAAGUUUUUCCACAGGAAUAUGUAUCAUGGAAGAAUAGAGGUUAUUCUGUAAUGGAAAAGUGUUGCCUGCCAUCACCCUCUGUAGAGCUGAGCAUUUCUUUUAAAUAGUCUUCAUUGCCAAUUUGUUCUUGUAGCAAAUGGAAGAAUGUAGUAUGGCUAAUUUCUUAUUACUAAGUAAUUUAUUUAAAAAAUAUCUGAGUAUAUUAUCCUCUACACUUAUCCCUACCUUCAUGUUCCAGUGGAAGGCUUUAGUAAAAUCAAAGAUCAGUGA